rnacentral:rRNA from 1 species
CAGAGGGUGCAAGCGUUAAUCGGAUUUACUGGGCGUAAAGCGUGAGUAGGUGGCUCGCCAAGUCGAUUGUGAAAGCCCUGGGCUCAACCUGGGAAUUGCAGUCGAUACUGGUGAACUAGAGUUCGGUAGAGGGUGACGGAAUUCCCGGUGUAGCGGUGAAAUGCGUAGAUAUCGGGAGGAACAUCGAUGGCGAAGGCAAUCACCUGGGCCUGAACUGACACUGAGACACGAAAGCGUGGGUAGCAAACAGGAUUAGAUACCCUGGUAGUCCACGCCGUAAACGAUGGGAACCUGACGUCGGUUUGCUCUGCGAAUCGGUGUCGUAGCUAACGCGCUAAGUUCCCCGCCUAGGGAGUACGGCCGCAAGGUUG